rnacentral:rRNA from 1 species
UGCCAGCCGCCGCGGUAACACGGGGGGCGCAAGCGUUAUCCGGAAUCACUGGGCGUAAAGGGAGUGUAGGCGGUCAAGCAAGUCAGAGGUGAAAGGCAUCGGCUCAACCGGUGUAAGCCUUUGAAACUGUUUGACUUGAGUGCAGGAGAGGUAAGUGGAAUUCCUAGUGUAGCGGUGAAAUGCGUAGAUAUUAGGAGGAACACCAGUGGCGAAGGCGACUUACUGGACUGUAACUGACGCUGAGGCUCGAAAGCGUGGGGAGCAAACAGGAUUAGAUA